rnacentral:rRNA from 1 species
GUCCACGCCGUAAACGAUGAGUGCUAGGUGUCGGCGAGCAUGCUCGUCGGUGCCGCAGCUAACGCAUUAAGCACUCCGCCUGGGGAGUACGGCCGCAAGGUUAAACUCAAAGGAAUUGACGGGGCCCGCACAAGCGGUGGAGCAUGUGGUUUAAUUCGAAGCAACGCGCAGAACCUUACCAGCCCUUGACAUGUCCGUCGCGGGGACGAGAGAUCGACCCCUUCAGUUCGGCUGGACGGAACACAGGUGCUGCAUGGCUGUCGU